AUUGAACGCUGGCGGCAGGCCUAACACAUGCAAGUCGAGCGGAUGAAGGGAGCUUGCUCCUGGAUUCAGCGGCGGACGGGUGAGUAAUGCCUAGGAAUCUGCCUGGUAGUGGGGGAUAACGUCCGGUAACGGGCGCUAAUACCGCAUACGUCCUGAGGGAGAAAGUGGGGGAUCUUCGGACCUCACGCUAUCAGAUGAGCCUAGGUGGGAUUUGCUAGCUGGUGGGGUAAAGGCCUACCAAGGCGACGAUCCGUAACUGGUCUGAGAGGAUGAUCAGUCACACUGGAACUGAGACACGGUCCAGACUCCUACGGGAGGCAGCAGUGGGGAAUAUUGGGCAAUGGGCGAAAGCCUGAUCCAGCCAUGCCGAGUGUGUGAAGAAGGUCUUCGGAUUGUAAAGCACUUUAAGUUGGGAGGAAGGGCAGUAAGUUAAUACCUUGCUGUUUUGACGUUACCAACAGAAAAAGCACCGGCUAACUUCGUG
rnacentral:rRNA from 1 species